rnacentral:sRNA from 1 species
GAAAUAAAAUCAUAACUCCCCUUAUGGAAGGAGAUAGACCGCAUGGGUAGCACCACAAUGGGCGUGAAGCUC